rnacentral:rRNA from 1 species
AGAGUUUGAUCCUGGCUCAGAUUGAACGCUGGCGGAAUGCUUUACACAUGCAAGUCGAACGGCAGCACGGGAGCUUGCUCCUGGUGGCGAGUGGCGAACGGGUGAGUAAUAUAUCGGAACAUAUCCUAUCGUGGGGGAUAACUAGUCGAAAGACUAGCUAAUACCGCAUACGUCCUGAGGGAGAAAGCGGGGGCUCGCAAGACCUCGCGCGAUUGGAGUGGCCGAUAUCUGAUUAGCUAGAUGGUGAGGUAAAGGCUCACCAUGGCUUCGAUCAGUAGCUGGUCUGAGAGGAUGAUCAGCCACACUGGGACUGAGACACGGCCCAGACUCCUACGGGAGGCAGCAGUGGGGAAUUUUGGACAAUGGGCGAAAGCCUGAUCCAGCCAUUCCGCGUGAGUGAAGAAGGCCUUCGGGUUGUAAAGCUCUUUCGGCAGGAAAGAAAUUGCCGUUUCUAAUACAAACGGUAGAUGACGGUACCUGAAGAAGAAGCACCGGCUAACUACGUGCCAGCAGCCGCGGUAAUAC